GUCGAGCGGGGUAAGCGAAAUAUGUGAAGCGGAGUCGUUCGCGACAAAGCAGCGCAUAGCGCAAACCUAGCGGCGGACGGGUGAGUAACGCGUGGAUAAUCUGCCUAUGGCACCGGGACAACAGCUCGAAAGGGCUGCUAAUACCGGAUGAGCCUACAAGUGCCGCAUGGCGCGGUAGGAAAAGGCUUCGGCAACGGAGUACGGCCAUAGAUGAGUCCGCGUAUGAUUAGCUGGUUGGCGGGGUAACGGCCCACCAAGGCGACGAUCAUUAGCCGACCUGAGAGGGUGAUCGGCCACAUUGGGACUGAGACACGGCCCAAACUCCUACGGGAGGCAGCAGUGGGGAAUAUUGCACAAUGGGCGCAAGCCUGAUGCAGCAACGCCGCGUGAGGGAAGAAGGCCUUCGGGUCGUAAACCUCUAUCGACCGGGAAGAAAAAAAUGACGGUACCGGAGUAAGAAGCCCCGGCUAACUACGUGCCAGCAGCCGCGGUAAUACGUAGGGGGCAAGCGUUAUCCGGAAUUACUGGGUGUAAAGGGGUGAGUAGCCGGCUAUGUAAGUCAUAUGUGAAAUUCCGCGGCUUAACCGCGGAACUGCAUAAGAAACUGCGUGGCUAGAGUACAGGAGAGGUAAGCGGAAUUCCUUGUGUAGCGGUGAAAUGCGUAGAUAUAAGGAGGAACACCAGUGGCGAAAGGCGGCUUUCUGGGACGAUAACUGACNCUGAGGCACGAAAGCGUGGGGAGCAAACAGGAUUUAGAUACCCUGGUAGUCCACGCUGUAAACGAUGGAUACUAGGUGUAGGGGGUAUCGAACCCUCCUGGUGCCGGAGUUAACNCAAUAAGUAUCCCACCUGGGGGAGUACGUACGCAAGUAUGAAACUCAAAGGAAUUGACGGGGGCCCGCACAAGCAGUGGAGUAUGUGGUUUAAUUCGAAGCAACGCGAAGAACCUUACCUGGGCUUGACAUGGAAACGACAGGUGUAGAGAUACACCCUUCUUCGGACGUUUCACACAGGUGGUGCAUGGUUGUCGUCAGCUCGUGUCGUGAGAUGUUGGGUUAAGUCCCGCAACGAGCGCAACCCUUAUUGUCAGUUGCCAUCAUUAAGUUGGGAACUCUGGCAAGACUGCCGGCGACAAGUCGGAGGAAGGUGGGGACGACGUCAAAUCAUCAUGCCCCUUAUGUCCAGGGCUACACACGUACUACAAUGGCUGUAACAAAGUGACGCAAGCCGGCAACGGUAAGCCAACCACAAAAAAACAGUCUCAGUUCGAAUUGCGGUCUGCAACCCGACCGCAUGAAGCCGGAAUCGCUAGUAAUCGCGAAUCAGCAUGUCGCGGUGAAUACGUUCCCGGGCCUUGUACACACCGCCCGUCACACCAUGGGAGUUGGCAACGCCCAAAAUGCGCGGCUUAACCCUGCCCUGAGCGCUUCGCGCUCAGGAAGUAAGAAGUAAAAAG
rnacentral:rRNA from 1 species